rnacentral:rRNA from 1 species
AUUGAACGCUGGCGGCAUGCCUUACACAUGCAAGUCGAACGCGAAAGGUCUUCGGACUGAGUAGAGUGGCGCACGGGUGAGUAACACGUAGGUAAUCUACCCUUUGGCGGGGGAUAACGUUCCGAAAGGAGCGCUAAUACCGCAUAAGACCACGGAGUCUCCGGACGCUGUGGGAAAAGGUGGCCUCUUCUUGAAAGCUACCACCGAAGGAUGAGCCUGCGUCCCAUCAGCUAGUUGGUAAGGUAAUGGCUUACCAAGGCGAAGACGGGUAGCUGGUUUGAGAGAAUGAUCAGCCACACUGGCACUGGAACACGGGCCAGACUCCUACGGGAGGCAGCAGUGAGGAAUAUUGGGCAAUGGGCGAAAGCCUGACCCAGCCACGCCGCGUGAGUGAUGAAGGCCCUCGGGUCGUAAAGCUCUGUGGAGAGGGACGAAAACCCUGGUUUCAAAUAGGCUCCAGGCUUGACGGUACCUCUUUAGCAAGCACCGGCUAACUCUGUGCCAG